rnacentral:lncRNA from 1 species
AACGAACUCAAGGACGAUGCAGACUACAACGAGAAAAUCCUGGAUGCGAUCUCGGGUGCCCUGUUUGUCUUGGAGCAACGCUCACAAUCCUCCGACAGUCCAGGAACCUUGCAGCAGCCAUUCAGAGUAGCAGCAGGCAGGCUAUUGCGUCGCAUGGCCAGGCCAGUGCCACCUGCUCCCUUGACAGCCAAAAGCAGCAAUAAGAUUGGUUGCUGCACUGCCUGACCACACUUGUCAAGCCGACUGUGCAAGCCAAAGUUCACUGUUCAUUAGCCAAGUGCUGGGUGGAAUCCAACCUGCAUCACUGCCUUGGUUCUGCACAGUGGCCACAUUGCUCUGCCAUGCAAAAUGCCUUGCUCGGAGAAUGCGCUCACCACCGAAGAGGAACCUGAAUGUAAGCGUCAAUGCGCUGAAGCUGCUCACUGACGCUAUGCGGAUAAGACGACUGAAGCCCGCUCUACCAGCCUACAGCAAAUGCAGGAUGCUCAGUGUGAACGUCGAGCAACUGACACAGACAUGGAAAGGGCUGCCCAUUUGGAGAAACCGAAAGCUGUCGACCAUCAACACUGUACUGCCAAAAUGGUUGAGCAUCGGAGUGUCCAGGCUGUCCAAGCUGCUAUUCGUAUACUUGGAUUAUCAUCAUAGAUGAGUUCUGCCCGAAUUUUUUUCACUUGUGCUUUUCUGUCAUUGGUAAGGCUCAUAUACCAAAGGAAAUCCUAUGUGCAAUUUUGUGUUAAAUGAAUUCUAACGGGUUAAGCACCAGGUUAUUAGUACUAACAUAUCCAGAACUCAAGGCAUACAGAGUGUACUUACCUGAUGAGCCCUAAAUGAAACAUGCAUGCUGAAGUUGUCCGCUUAAUGCGGGAAUUGAUGCGAAGCAAUGGGUGACGUGACCUGUCACAUGUGGCAUGUACUACAGUACACGAGCAGCAACCGACAACCUGACUACACUGUCCAGAACUAGUAAGUAAGUUCUAUUUCCCUUUUAAGUUCCUAUUCCAUUUUAGAAUAGGGCAGGCGCUCGAAGCACCGCAGGAAAAAGAGUCAUUGGUUGUGGUUCUAUAGUUGUGGCUUCAUAGUUGUGGGGUACGGUAGUACACUCACGUUCACCGAUUCACUGCCUAACCCUUUCCACAUCUUUGCUCAGAGACACAGUUAGCUCCACAUUUGAGAAUCUGGAAACGCAAGAAUGUGUUCACCUCUGAGCCAACCGAAUUUUUUUUUUUUUGUUCGCCAGUUGGCAUCACAUUAAUAUAAACUCUGUACUGGCAAAGUAGCAGCUUUCGCUUUCGUUUCCCUAGAAAUGCAAAAACAUCAAUUCAAGUGGCUUAUCACUGAAUCAGCAGGAAAUGUUAAAAAUCAGCA